GCCGGGCGAGGUGGCGGGCGCCUGUAGUCCCAGCUACUCGGAGGCUGAGGCAGGAGAAUGGCUUGAACCCGGGAGGCGGAGCUUGCAGUGAGCUGAGAUCCGGCCACUGCACUCCAGCCUGGGCAACAGAGCGAGACUCUGUCUCAA
rnacentral:sRNA from 1 species